AGCGAACGCUGGCGGCAGGCCUAACACAUGCAAGUCGAACGAACUCUUCGGAGUUUGUGGCGGACGGGUGAGUAACACGUGGGAACGAGCCUUUUGGUUCGGAAUCACUCAGGGAAACAUGUCUUCAUAAAGCUUGUGCUCUUCCGGGGUAAGAUUUCUGGCCACUUGCUCGGGCCGCGUCUGAUUGGCGAGUGGGUGAUGUAACGGCGCGCCAAGGCCAGGAUCAUGGGCUGGUCUGAGAGCAUGACCAGGCACACUGGGACUGCGGCACGGCCUAGACUGGUACGGGAGGCAGCGGAGGAGAGUCUUGCGGAAUGAGCGAAAGUCUGACGCAGCCAUGCGGCGUGAAUGAUGAAUGGCUUAGGAUUGUAAAAUUCUUUCACCGGGGGCGAGAAUGACGGUACUCGGAGAAGAAGCCCCGGCUAACUUCGUG
rnacentral:rRNA from 1 species